rnacentral:rRNA from 1 species
CCUACGGGGGGCUGCAGUGGGGAAUAUUGGACAAUGGGGGGAACCCUGAUCCAGCCAUGCCGCGUGUGUGAAGAAGGCCCGCGGGUUGUAAAGCACUUUCAGUGAGGAAGAACGCCUGGUGGUUAAUACCCAUCAGGAAAGACAUCACUCACAGAAGAAGCACCGGCUAACUCCGUGCCAGCAGCCGCGGUAAUACGGAGGGUGCGAGCGUUAAUCGGAAUUACUGGGCGUAAAGCGCGCGUAGGUGGCUUGAUAAGCCGGUUGUGAAAGCCCCGGGCUCAACCUGGGAACGGCAUCCGGAACUGGCAAGCUAGAGUGCAGGAGAGGAAGGUAGAAUUCCCGGUGUAGCGGUGAAAUGCGUAGAGAUCGGGAGGAAUACCAGUGGCGAAGGCGGCCUUCUGGACUGACACUGACACUGAGGUGCGAAAGCGUGGGUAGCAAACAGGAUUAGAUACCCUUGUAGUC